GCUCACCAUGAGUCCUCCAUAGUGGGUAGAGCGUCCAACCGGCACCUGGAAGGUCAUGGGUUCGAUUCCCAUUGGGGAGCU